AAAACCGCCUGAGAAAGUUGACAAAGUGAAACCACAGAAACAAGCAGAGAAAACUUUUGAAGGUGAAACCGUUUCUGUUAAAACACCUGAGAAGGUCGGACCAAAACGAGAAGCACAAGAAUCUCUUCAGAAAGAACCUGUAGUUGAGAAGACGGAGAAGAUUCGUCAGGAGAAGAAAGUCUUUGUUCCUGUUGAAAAAGUUCUAACUGAGAAACCAGAAGAAACUCAGAGGAAACAGGAAGAGGAGAGAAAAUCUGCUAAAAUCUCUGAGAUAAAACAGAAAGUUAAAGCAAAAG